UAGGGAAUCUUCCACAAUGGACGCAAGUCUGAUGGAGCAACGCCGCGUGAGUGAAGAAGGUUUUCGGAUCGUAAAGCUCUGUUGUUGGUGAAGAAGGAUAGAGGCAGUAACUGGUCUUUAUUUGACGGUAAUCAACCAGAAAGUCACGGCUAACUACGUGCCAGCAGCCGCGGUAAUACGUAGGUGGCAAGCGUUGUCCGGAUUUAUUGGGCGUAAAGCGAGCGCAGGCGGAAUGAUAAGUCUGAUGUGAAAGCCCACGGCUCAACCGUGGAACUGCAUCGG
rnacentral:rRNA from 1 species